rnacentral:rRNA from 1 species
AACGAACGCUGGCGGCACGUUUUAAGCAUGCAAGUCGAAUGGCAGCAGGGGCAACUCUGUGAGAAUGGCGAACGGGUGAGUAACACGUAGGUGAUCUGCCUUGAGGAUGGGGAUAGCCUGUGGAAACACAGGGUAAUACCGAAUAAGCUGACGGGACUUUGGUUUUGUUAGUAAAGGUGCUACGGCACCGCCUGGAGAGGAGCCUGCGGCUGAUUAGCUAGUUGGUGGGGUAAAGGCCUACCAAGGCGACGAUCAGUAGCCGGCCUGCGAGGGUGUACGGCCACACUGGGACUGAGACACGGCCCAGACUCCUACGUGAGGCAGCAGCUAAGAAUCUUCCGCAAUGGGCGAAAGCCUGACGGAGCGAUGCCGCGGGAUUGAUGAAGGUCGGGAGAUUGUAAAGAUCUUUUCUACAUGAGGAAUAAGUCUGGGAGGGAAUGCCUGGAUGAUGACGUUAGUGUAGGAAUAAGCCCCGGCUAAUUACGUGCCAGCCGCCGCGGUAA